rnacentral:rRNA from 1 species
UACGUAGGUGGCAAGCGUUGUCCGGAAUUACUGGGCGUAAAGGGCGCGUAGGCGGCCGCCUAAGUCAGACGUGAAAUCCCUCGGCUCAACCGGGGAACUGCGUCUGAUACUGGGUGGCUUGAAUUCGGGAGAGGGAUGCGGAAUUCCAGGUGUAGCGGUGAAAUGCGUAGAUAUCUGGAGGAACACCGGUGGCGAAGGCGGCAUCCUGGACCGAGAUUGACGCUGAGGCGCGAAAGCCAGGGGAGCAAACGGG